GCCCGGUUAGCUCAGUUGAUAGAGCAUCAGACUUUUAAUCUGAGGGCCAUGGGUUCGCGUCCGAUAUCGGGCU
rnacentral:tRNA from 1 species